ACAGAGGUGGCGAACGUUGUUCGGAUUUACUGGGCGUAAAGGGUCCGCAGGCGGUCUUGUGUGUCAGAUGUGAAAGCCCACAGCUUAACUGUGGAAUUGCAUUUGAAACUGCAGGACUAGAGUACUGGAGGGGAGAAGGGAACACUUGGUGUAGCGGUGAAAUGCGUAGAUAUCAAGUGGAACACCGGCGGCGAAGGCGCUUCUCUGGACAGAUACUGACGCUCAUGGACGAAAGUUAGGGUAGCGAAAGGG
rnacentral:rRNA from 1 species